GAUUCUGUGAUCAGUGGAACAGGACCUGGAGCCAGCAGAAGUCUCACAGGAAGCCAUGCACAAGUGGAGGCUCAUGAUGACAAACAAGAGCCACACUCAACUGGAGUCACAAGGCACAAUGAUGAUGAUGAUGAAGAAGAAAGAGAGUCUCAGGCAGGACGAAAGGGCCUUCUAUC